rnacentral:ncRNA from 1 species
UUGGUUGAUCCUGCCAGUAGUCAUAUGCUUGUCUCAAAGAUUAAGCCAUGCAUGUGUAAGUAUGAACUAUUUUAGAUUGUCAAACUGUGAAUGGCUCAUUAAAUCAUUUAUAGUUUGUUUAAUGGUAUCUACUACUUGGAUAACUGUAGUAAUUCUAGAUAUAAUAUGUGGACCAAACCCCGACUUCUGGAAGGGAUGAUUCAUUGGCCCAAAGGUCGAUGUGGGCUUUGCCGAUUGCUCUGGUGAAUCAUGAUAACUCGACGGAUUGCACGACCGUUGUACUUAUAGCUACCUGACCCGGAGGGAGAUGGAAUGGAAUGAAUGGAUGGAAUCCACCUAAACAUUUGGGAAUUGUGAAUUUAGGAAAAUCUGAGAUUUUUGAAGAAAAACAAAAGUUUUCUUGGUGACUCGUUGGCCCAAUGGGGAUGGGAUUCUUAAGGUUUAGGGAUCAAGGUACGAUGUGGGAAGGUGUUAGGCACCUCACAUGCACCCGGUUAAACCGGCCUCUACUUCACCAAUGUUCCAAGAAAGAAAAUACUUUUUGGGCUUAAAAGAAUAGCUCAUACA